rnacentral:rRNA from 1 species
UCGGGAAUUUUGGGCAAUGGGCGCAAGCCUGAUCCAGCCAUGCCGCGUGAGUGAAGAAGGCCUUAGGGUUGUAAAACUCUUUCGCCGGAGAAGAUAAUGACGGUAUCCGGAGAAGAAGCCCCGGCUAACUUCGUGCCAGCAGCCGCGGUAAUACGAAGGGGGCUAGCGUUGUUCGGAAUUACUGGGCGUAAAGCGCGCGUAGGCGGCGAUAUAAGUCAGAGGUGAAAGCCUGGAGCUCAACUCCAGAACUGCCUUUGAAACUAUAUUGCUAGAGUGUCGGAGGGGAUAGCGGAAUUGCUAAUGUAGAGGUGAAAUUCGUAGAUAUUAGCAGGAACACCGGUGGCGAAGGCGGCUAUCUGGACGACAACUGACGCUGAGGCGCGAAAGCGUGGGGAUCAAACAGGAUUAGAUACCCAGGUAGUCCCUGAGCGGGCUGGCAAGGCGCAU